CACGUAGGGUGCGAGCGUUGUCCGGAAUUAUUGGGCGUAAAGAGCUCGUAGGCGGUGCGUCGCGUCGGCCGUGAAAACCUGCAGCUUAACUGUGGGCUUGCGGUCGAUACGGGCAUCACUGGAGUUCGGCAGGGGAGACUGGAAUUCCUGGUGUAGCGGUGAAAUGCGCAGAUAUCAGGAGGAACACCGGUGGCGAAGGCGGGUCUCUGGGCCGAUACUGACGCUGCGGAGCGAAAUCGUGGGGAGCGAACAGG
rnacentral:rRNA from 1 species